GUCGUUCUGCAUAAAAAAAUCGUACACAUGAAUAGGAAGGAACCUUGACGUGGUUCAUGUGCUUUAAACAAAUACCUUCCAGACAGAUACAUUCUCAACCGUUGUACUGUGAGGGAUAAAUGUUGACAUUGAGUGCAUUGUAGGUAUCAAGAAUAGUAUAGGUAUAAUUUUUUAUUAAAUUUUGCAUAUGUUUCAUGUAAAAGAAAAUAAUAACCAGAAUCUAGUUUAUAUUUAUAAAAAAAAAAUCCAAAACAAUAGUUUGGGAGGGAGAGAUUUUCUUAAGUUAAUUUUUGCUUGAAUUUCAGACUUAUAUUGUCUUAACCAGUUUAGCAUUAAAACUUUUUUUUUUUUUGAAAUUGCGUGCUUAUUUUUAUAAAAGGCUGCAAUCACCAAGUCUUAAUCACAAAAAAAAAAGUUUCAAAAUGCGCAAAUGGGGUGAAUCCAUAGGAGGAGAUAUUGGGAGAAGCCAUAGCGGGAGCCCCCCUUGUAUCAAAUAAGAACCUUUUGAAAAUAUAAAUCCGAGUUAGUAUGGAGUUCACAAAUAGUAAAUGGGGAAGGGAGGCUUAUUUAGUAUCUGAGAGUACCACUGUCUGGAAUGGAUUGUGUUAUAGCAAUCGUGGCUCAGUAGUUAGAGAAUUGGAUUCGUAAUCUAAGGGUUGCGAGUUCGAUCCCUACUCGAAGCACAUAAAGGUUAUCGGUAAGGUUGGAAACGGAGAGCCAACUUAUAAAUGCUAUUGUCUUGGUGGCGGUGCUCUGUGACAAGACCAUUAGGACUUCUUAAAGCACCUUAAUAACAAAAC